rnacentral:lncRNA from 1 species
AGCGGCCCAGCGGCCACCGAGUUGGUGCGGGCGGCGGUGACGCCCCCGGCAAGGGGGAGGGACGCGCGGAGCGCCUCGCAGAGCCGCACACCCGCGAAAACAAAGCCAUCUCUUUGAAACAAAAGUGAAACAGACGCGGCCGGGGAAAGCUAGAUAUUUGCGAGCUGAUGUGAACAAAGGGGAAAAGUCAUNNNNNNNNNNNNNNNNNNNNNNNNNNNNNNNNNNNNNNNNNNNNNNNNNNNNNNNNNNNNNNNNNNNNNNNNNNNNNNNNNNNNNNNNNNNNNNNNNNNNNNNNNNNNNNNNNNNNNNNNNNNNNNNNNNNNNNNNNNNNNNNNNNNNNNNNNNNNNNNNNNNNNNNNNNNNNNNNNNNNNNNNNNNNNNNNNNNNNNNNNNNNNNNNNNNNNNNNNNNNNNNNNNNNNNNNNNNNNNNNNNNNNNNNNNNNNNNNNNNNNNNNNNNNNNNNNNNNNNNNNNNNNNNNNNNNNNNNNNNNNNNNNNNNNNNNNNNNNNNNNNNNNNNNNNNNNNNNNNNNNNNNNNNNNNNNNNNNNNNNNNNNNNNNNNNNNNNNNNNNNNNNNNNNNNNNNNNNNNNNNNNNNNNNNNNNNNNNNNNNNNNNNNNNNNNNNNNNNNNNNNNNNNNNNNNNNNNNUCCCCCUCCCUCCUUUAAACCACAGCAUCACACAGCAAGGCCCUAUUGCAGUUACCCAUAAAUGCAAAGGCGAGGAGCCACCAAUACCUGUUUGAGGAGAUGGCAUUUUAAUUAGCACACUCCAGCUGCCAUAAACCCCGGAUCCUGCCCCACCUCUCCUCCCCCUCCCCGUGCCCUCUCCCAACCUCCCUGCUCACCCCCAUCUAUGUAAAAAAGCCAUAAAGCCUUUCUCCAAUCGCCUUCUCGGAGUUUAUGCAACCCCCAGAACACAGGUUGAUUGGAAAGGUCUCUCUCCUGGAUAACAACAAUUCAAUGUGCCUUGACAUUUUAAUAGCCUGCCGUCCUGGUGAACACAAUCGAGCAAGGCAGUGAAGCAAAAAUCAUUAGGUAAGCAAGAUAAUCUAAGCGGAAUCUGCUGCCUGCACUCUCACAUCUGGGGGCAGGUUGCACAGCUGGGGCGGUCCACAAAGCUGGGGCCAUCCUGCCUUGCAGCGCCUUUGUAUGUGUGCACCGAUACAUAUACACUUGUUCAGUUAGAGACACACACCCUUGCGACAGCUUUGGGGAGAUAAACACACUGAGGCAAGUAUAGGCUCGUUGAACCCCCGAUAUGAAAUAACCUGAGAGUAUACAGAUUUAUAGUGAAUCAAAAUACCUCCCACCCCACCUACCUACUACCAAAUCAAACUUACUGCUCUCAGUUCAGGCUUGAAUAUUGGUUGGGAUCCCUAACACCAACCAUAUAAAGGCUUAUGUAUUUCCAUGAAUAUAUAUGUAUUCAUUUAUAUAAUGAUUUUGAAUACAAUGCCAUGGCUAAAAAUGUAACUUAAACAUAAAUGUACAAUGUAAAACAUUUAUGCUGACUGUAUGCAAGGUACUACUAUAAAUGCUUCAUGUCUAAUAACUCCUUUAAUUCUCAAAACCUAAGUACAUUAUUGUCCCCACUUUACAGAUGAGGUAACUGAGGCACAAAGAGCUGAACUAACUUGUCCAAAGUAAUCCUCCCGUAAGUGGUGGAGCCAGGAUUUGAAUGCAGGCAGUGUGGCUCUUCUAUCCAGGCUGUCACCCACUGAGCCAUGCUGUCUCGUAAAAAGAAGUCACACAAAUAAUAUCACAUGUCUUUAUAAGGUCAGUGCAUUCCUACAUGAAUGUGUAUAUUUACACACACACACACACACACAACACAUAUUUAUGUGGAUACUCAAAAGGUGCAAAGCAGUGUGACUUCUUUUCAGCACAAGCACCUGCAUUUGUGCGUUCAGCCAUAUUCACGAGUUGAAUAUCUUGUGAGUCCCAAGAUCAUGUAUUAGUACUGAGGAUAUAAUAAUUAAUUAGACACAAAUGUCUCCCUCCAGUAGCUCAUAGCCUAUGGAGAAGUCAAAUCAGCAAACAGAUGUUGACCUUAGGGGUAAUAGGAUAGAGACUGACACAGAGAGGCAGAGGUGGAGAGGACCCCUCAACGCCGCCACCUGCCUCACACGUCCCCCUCCCAGAAUCUUCUUGAGAAGCCAUAUACCUCUUCCCAUGAGGCUGUUAUACUCAAAACACAUGGACAGCUCCAAAUAGGAAUUGCCUUCAAGACCAUUUUGUAAGUUGCCCAAGAAAAUCAGUCUUGUUACUUGAUAAUUACACAUAACACGCACACACCUCUUUCUUAGAAGGAAGUAGGAGUGACAUCACAGAACUUGGAGGGCCAACAGAUGACAGAAAAUUCUCCUGUUGGAUUCCAACCCGCCCCAUUCGCCCAUGCUCCUCCCUCUCUCCCUGCAUGGAAGUCCGGCAUAGAUCCGUUUCCCUGGGUGCUGACUUGGCAAGCUCUUCGCUUUAUGAAUAUGACCCUCAGAGGGGAGAGCCCCUCUCAGCAGCCCCCGAACUAUGUUAUCACCGUUAUUAAAGGAGCUUAAAGAGGAGCAGGGAGGACGAGACACCACUGGAAUUGCAGCCUGAUUGUGAUUGAUGUGUUCCUAUUAGCGCCUCAGUGUUAUCUCUCUGGAUGGCAAGAACAGCCAGUGGCUUGUAACACAACAGAUUACCUGAGUUCUCAGCCUUAGAAGGAUGUUUAAAUAAAAUAUAGUCCCUCUUAGCAAGAGGCUCAUUUUCUCCACGAGGCUCCCAGACUAUUUCAUGUCAGCUCUGAUUCGCUGCGACUCUCCUCAGUAAACAUGUCUUAUCAUUAAUAAUUCUUUACAGGCACAAUCUCCAAGAGUCCUCUCCUCUCUCUCUCUCUCUCUCUCUCUCUCUCUCUCUCUCUGUCUCUCUCUUUCUCUAGGUGGCUGGACUCAGACACAUCACGCUCCAGUUUGGGUUCCAAGGUGCUUCUCUCUGGCUUUUCACCUGCCUUGCCAAAAAUGAUUGAUUACGCCGGGCCGACUGGGUGUCCGGCAAUACCGAACAAAUGACUUUGGCCCCUAACAGCAGGCCUUGGCCAGAUAGAAAUCAAUAUUUCACCAUUAAAAUCUAUCAAAGAAGAGUUAAGGCACCAUCUGUCCCUGCCGCCUCUCUAUGGUGUGUGAACAUUAAAUCCGACACUUGUACUACAUGGGUAAUCAAUAUAUAGUGGUUCACAGAUCAUUUGUGGUUCCCUUUUAGCAGUGAUGGAUGUCUGGAAUCGUUGUGAUUCAUUUUGUCAGACCAUUAAACAAGAUUCUGUCCAGUUCCUUCCUGAUUUCAUUUAGAGGAUCAUUCUUCACAGUUCAUAAGAGGGAAACGGUUUUACCAAUCUGCUUCUAUUUCAAUAAGUCACUUUAUAGAGAUUUUGUGUCCUCCAGACUGUAAAAAUUCUGGAGAGAUAGUACAAACAGACCUCUAAAACUAUUCACUGCAUGACAUAUGCAUAAAGUGUGAAGAGAGGAAUGUAAAUAUGUUUACCUCUUUAUCUGCAAAUGUUGGUUUUAACCCCCUCCUGGCUGGAGCGGUGGCCUGCGGGGCGCUCGGGGAACAGAAGGAGGAGGGUGAGGCUGGUGACUGGGGACCAACUCAUAGAGGCAGGGGGAAACCCGUGAACCCUCAGUGGCACGGCUAAAAGAAAAUGGGAAUGACUUUUCCAGAGGCUGCAUCUCAGGCUUCCGUUUCUAAAGUCGAGAUGAUCUCGCCUCUCACCCAAAUGAUUGACAAGUGCCUCCCUGUACUGUGGCCCGGCACACCAACCCGAGAGAAGAAACAAUGACUGUGCCCUUGGGGGCAGGGUGUGGGUGAACGUAAGGACCUGCGUGACAAUAACGGCUGCCAUUUGUGGAGUAUCAACCCUUCCCAGGCACAAAAUAUGCCCAAGUCUCCCCCUGAACAGUUUUACAAGAUAGGUACUAUUCUCCCCACUUUCUAGUGGGAAAACUGAGGCUCAGAGAAGUUAAAUGACGUGCCUAAGAUCACCCUACCCAGGGAAUGGGAGGGUCAGGACCCAGACCCGGACCUGUCUGACACCAAAGAGCCCACAUGGCUGUCGCCAGCUCUUGGCUGUCGGCCAUCACUUUGUGGAUGAUUUUGUUUCAACCCAAGUGAAUUUCCUUCAGUCCUUCUGGACUACAUACUUGCUCCAACCAAUCAGGGUGCUGUUAGGAAAUAAAGCUUUUCCAUUACUACUUUAAGUAAAUCUGCAGCAGGGUCACUAAGUAAAGUACUCCAAAGCCAAACGAUUAAUUUUAAGCCAUCUUCCUGUUUUAGAUGAUUGGAUAACUCUAUCCCUGUGGCUGAUAUAAGUACAGAUAAGCAGAAGUUGAUUUAAAUAUUCGCAUAAACCUAUAUAUGUAGGUAUAUAUACAGCUAUAUACACAUAUCUGCACAUAUAUAAGUUAUAUAUAACUAUUAUAAAUUAUAUCAUCAUAAAUAUAUAUAAUUUGGAAGACUCUAGAGAUAAUUUAGUUUUUCCUUCUUCCCUUUCCUUUUAAAAUAAAGUAACUAAGCCUCAGAAAGAAUAAAAACUGGGCCUGGGAUGAAAAACUUACUUUGUGAUUUCCAAGUUAAAACCCUGUACUGAAAAAUUAUAAGCGAUAGAGUGUUGAUAGAGUGUUACUCAGUUACAAUUUUUUUUGGCGAGCUGUUUGUUGAGGGGACAGUUGGGAGAGUACUUCUGUCGCAGCUGAGUGAAGGGGAGAGCCUCUAAGGCAUUCUCACUUCCACACCAAUUCACUAACCCUGUACUCCCUGCUGCAAGGUAAGCGUUCCCUAUCAGACCCAAGGCAUUCCGGCCAGAGCCACGCUGGACCACAGCAUCUGGGGAAAUUCCAGGAAAGGCACUUUUAAGAGGCAUAGGGCACGGCGGAGAGAGCCUGGAUGCAGGCUUCAGAAAGACUAGGAAAGAACCCAUCUGUGCUGCUAAUUAACUACGUCACCUCAGUAAAGUACUUAGCCUCUCUGAGCAUCAGUUUCCUCAUCUAAGAGAGGCUAAUCGCAGGUACCUCACAGGGCGACUGCAAGGACUCAAUGACACAAUGUAAACUUUAGCACAAGGCUUAGCCCUUGUUAGUUGGCAAUCCCUAACCCUUUCUUCCCUUCCUUGCUUCCUGACACUACACCACACAUAUUCCGUUGCACUUUCUCCUGCAGGAAAACUUAGAACGGCAUCCACCACAUAAGAGUUUAUCCAGUUCUUCUCAAUUCUAGAAACACAAAACCUAGGAAUUAAAACAAGAAUUAAGAGGUCUUUGAUACCCAGUGCUGGAACCACUUUCACCACCUGUCUGACAGUUCAUUUUCAAGGACCGGCAGCUCAAGAUGUUGCAAGGAAGUCUGCCUUAUUGCCGGACGGUCUUUUUUUUUUAAUAUUUUUUUUUCAUUUUUAUUUAUUUUAGAGUUAGAGCAUGUGCAUGAGGAAGGGAAGGGGCAGAGAGAGAGAAUCGUAAGCAGGCUCCACGCUCAGCACAGAGCCCGACGUGGGGCUUGAUCCCACGACUCUGGGAUCAUGACCUGAGCCGAAUCAAGAGUUGGACACUCAACCGACUGAGCCGCCCAGGUGCCCGUGCACAGUCUUUUUUAACAAUAAAUUUCCUGCUAAACCUGCUUCAGUGUAAAUCCCAUCCAUUAGUGCCAGUAAUAAUUCCAACCCGUAACCACCUCACGUUCCGUACAAUAAUUUAGUAGAAUGAAAAGAAAUGUUCCUUUUAAUUUGGGUUAAAACUACCUUCUUGAAGCAUUUUGAUUACUGGACUAAAAUCCAAGAGCUUUGUGACUGCCAAACUGGCUUUAUUCAUGUCUUUUGAUGCUAGCUGUGAGUACACCCCAGCUCAUACUGGGUGAAAUGAAGGAUUCUUUAUUUUUUUUCAUGUUCUUUUAUGAAUCCUCUUUGGUCCAUGUCUCUCACUGGGUUUUCUCUGUCUCUGAAGUUCCAUUCUUGAGCAUGAAGCCCAGAACUGCACAGAACAGUUCCAAUUCAAUGCUAUACUUCAGGUUUUUCCAUCCAUUUCUUCCUUUCUUCUUCGUUCCUCCUAUCUACCUGUCUUUCCAUCCAUCCAUCCUUCCAUCACAAAUAUCCCAGCCAAACCAGGAACAACGGCCGUUAAUAAGGUAAUGCAAUAACCUGAGCCCUGACAGCAAUGCCAGUGUCAGACUUCGUGAAAGCACAUGUUUCCUUCCUACCACCCCGAUCCCAGGCAUCAGCAUAGGCCCCAGGUGGGCAGGCUGACAUCCAUGCCAUUGUCUCUCAACUGUUCCUCAGGGCGUGUCGCUGUCUCUCAACUCCAGAAUCACAGAAUUAAAUUCAACCACUCUAUAUUGAGCAUUCAUGAGAAAGCCACACUGAGCUCUCAUGGUCUGUCCAGGUCACUCAAACCAGAGUAACCAUCACAUAGGCCACCAGCUUUGCUCUGCCCUGUGACUCAGCCGUAUGCUUCCUCACGUCAUACUGAGGUUAAUCUUGGGGACCCCACUCAGUUCCCACUCCUUGCCAGUGUUUCAGGUCCCAAACGGCCCUAUCUUGGAUGCCCACCUUUGCUGCUAGGUUCUCUCCGUGUGUGUGGAUCUCUGAAUCCAGCAUCUCUAGCCGAACUUGAGCACAGUAUUUCUAAUUCCUUCUUUAGCGUGGCCUUCUUAGGAAGCCGGACCUCGGCACUGGUUCCUAUUAAAAGUCAGGUCUGUGGGAAAAAUUGCAUAAAUGCAUCCUAGACCAGGGGCUGGGGGAGCCAUACUCACAGAGGCAAGACCCACACACACCUGCCUGGCACACACCUGCGCCCAUCAGACGUGCAGUGGCAGGUGAGGACACAGCCAUCCGCACAGUCUGAGGUCUGAAAACCACUAACUCUCCCUCUGUUGGGUGAAGCCAUUGAAGAACAGCUUCUGAUGGAAAAGGUCACCUAUUCCUAAGGAUUUCCAGAAAUUCCAUUCUCCUACUCUCUGUCCUGAAAUGAAACAAUAUAUACAGUCAGAAAUUUUUUCCAGGGCUAGCUUCACCCCAUCUUGCUCUAACUGAAGCCCAUUCUUUGGGCUUCAGGUUUUUGCAUUUUCAUGAGCAAUCAUAGCACUGUGCCAGGCAUUGUAUUGGUUGCUUGGGGACGUGGUUUCAUUAGUUAUCACAGCAACUUUCUGCAAGACAGAUUUCUUUUUCCCCCAUUUUAGGAAGAAACUGAGGCUGUAAGGGAUUUAGUAAUUCACAUGAUAUCAGGCUGCUAAUAAAUGACAGACUGUGAUUCAAACUCACUCUGGACUCCCCAGCCAGGGCCAUCAAACACCGAGCCAUACUUCUGUUUAGAAUAUUCACCUUACGGCUCUAACGGGAUUUACAGAGACUUCUGAAAGCAAAAGCUAGGCCCAAUUACAAACUUUUAUAGCUGUUAAAGAAUCUGCUUAACUCACUCCCAGAAUCGCGUUCUGUUACGGACACGUCAGUUAUAUUUUUUCGAACUUCGCUUUCAACUCUUCAUCAAAGGCGCCAGCCAGCCUCUAAGACCCGGUGCAGAAGGGACACAAGACUUCAAUUGCCCCUUUCAACUCUCAGCCACAAGGGGAGAGAAUAACCCGGAGGUCAGUGCAUUCCACCCCUUCCCAACCAUAAGGCUGUUUGGCCAGCACGUGCCAGGUGAUGAUCUGGGAGUCAGGUUGGUAUCUGUCACCAGCAGUGGGAGGGAAGGUGGAUGGCUAGACCAGUCCUGGAAGCCUGCAGCUGGGCAAGCGACUUCUAGCUCCACCACAGGGCCUUGGUCAUAGCUGAUCUCACACCAUCAGAGGCUGUUUCCAGGAAGGCUAGCCUGACUCUGGGGCCCCCACACUCUGGGGAAAGGGCUGCAGGGAGCCACGGAGGAAUUUUAGAACCUGGGGGUCUCAGCAGGUGUGGGGAGCACAGUAUCUCCCCGGGGGCACUCACAAAUGUGACAGUGAGCUGUGGCAAUGCUGAGGGUACUGUAGACAAUUAGUGGAUAGGGUGGGUUAUGCUAAAUGUGCUCUAAUGUAUGAGACAGUCCCAUGCAGUGACAAAUUGCCCAUUCCAAUUGGCACUCCACUGACCGAACCCAACGUUCUCAUUUUACAGACAGAAAGGAUUUGAAUGAUUUCCCCCAAAGGGACCUCGGGGGGAUAUUUUGCUGCCCAUUGAUGGCAUUGUAUGUUCAGCUCCCCCAGGAACAAUGUCAUAAGACUUGUUGCUUCUCCUUAAACACAUCAGUAGGGCCACAGUCCCCAGAAAUGGAAAGGAGAAUGAGAUUCAUUGAACGUGCCAAAUCCUGCAUUAAGUGCAAUGCUUAACACACAUUACCUCAAUUUUUUUCUGAAAAAAAAAAAAAACAAAAAAACAACGAAACAACAAACCCUGGGAAUCAGGUGAUCUAAGGAGGAUAGGAAAGGCUCAGAGCAGCCAAGUAAGUUGACCAAAGCCACAUAGUUCAUCCAUGAUAGAGGCAAGAGUUCAAUGCAGUUCUCCUAGCCAGCAAAGUAUCUUGGGUAGAGACACACAAGAGCAACGAGUGGGGCACCCCAAAGCAGGGGUGCCUCUCUCUUCAGGCACCUCAAAUCACAUCUCAGGUCUUCUAGAGACUCUACCAAACCUGAGCAAAAUUGAGAGAGACCAAGUUCAUCUAGGAGCCUUCUCUCCCCCUCCAGGGGCUCCCCCCACCAAACACCACUAGAGUUAGCCAGAAGCAGCUGGUUAUGGGUAACUGCUAGCCAGGAAUUUUUGCUUUUUGUAAGAGUACCUAUGCCACGUGAAACACAUGAAAAUAUAAGGAAGCAAGCUCCCAUUGUAGAAGGGAAGUGGAGAGGGGGUUAUUGCUAAGGAGAAGUAAGACAUCUUUCUAGAGCUAUUACUGUACCGCAACUUUGCCUUCCAUAAACCAGCCUUUGAAAACUGUUGAAGAAAUAAAAGGGCUUUGGCCUGGUGCUUCUGACCAUCUCUGAAGGUUUCUGUUUUCUUUCCAUUUGGCCUUGCACCACUGCAAUACAAGAAGGGAAAAGAACAGUGAAGAGAAACACAGAGAAGGGAGGGGAGAUGGUGCUUGCGUGCGGGCUCUAAGGCCAUCACAGCAACAGGAAAAUGGAAAAGAAAUGGCACUGACAAGAUAAUGGCCCACCCUGACAAUUUUUGAAACCCUGAUGCGUUUAGUCAGAAAGUAGCCGGACCGGAAUCCCCAUUCUAUCACUUCCGGGGCAUGUGAAAGCAAUGCAAUUGCCUUAACAUGGCAGAAACUCAGGUUCUUCAAUUGUAUUAAGAAGGUAGUCAUUUCCACCUUCUGGUGUUAUCCUUAAGGAUAUACACGGAAAUAGGGCACCUGGCGCUUAGUAGGCACUCAGUAAGUGCAAGCAGCUAGGAUCGAUUCUCUUGAAAAGGAAGCCCACGGAGUGGUUCUGGAUAGGUGGCACAAAGGAGUUCACCACCUCCAAAGCUCUGACUCUGCUAUUGUCAAUCUCUUUUUCUCCUCAAGAGUGGGCGGGGUUGGGGGGAGCAAGGAGGGGAGUUUUCAGGGUAACAAGACUAAUCAGGAUUUCACCAUCAAAGCAAAUAUAUCCAAUUAACAGCUAUUAAAGGAGCAUUUUCUGGCACUGUGCACAAUGAGGGCCAUUCUGUCUAGUGGAAAUUAAUCUUAAUUAUUGGUACCUGCAUACAUACGUGAAAAGGGAAGCAACUCACAUUAAUCUACAUUAAACUUAAUAGCAGUCCGUGUAUUAUCUAUUCUGAGUCAAAAUUGACUGCUGGCCCCUGCAUAGAUACCUGCAGUGCUAACUCAAGUAAUUACAGUGCAGUGGGUCUCAAAGACACAAUUUGUUCCCUAUAUAAUAAAUCAGCUGCUAGAAGCUUUUUAUAAUUAAAAACCAAAAGGAAAAAAAUAGAACUGUAUAGGCAAAUGUCAUUUUCUUCUAUGGGAAAUUAGGAAAAAGGAAAACGCGUCUUCCUGUUGUCUCGUCUGAAAGGAAGAUGAAAACACCCAUGCCUGAUGGAUUCCCAAACAGAGGGAUAAAUACAGGGUUAGGUUUCCAGAACUAUGGAAAAGAAUGUUUCCAGAACUUCAAAGUUUAAGGUUUCUAAGAGGCCUUAACUUCAUUUCCGAGGAGACUGAUAAGGCUAUCUGAGAGCAAUGCCUUAUAUUAACUUGAAUUUUCAAUAGUCUGGGGCAGGGUAAAGUCCAGGUUCAUUUUAUGAGACUCCACUUAGGCAGGACUCCCUUCUGUUCAGCAUGAGAAAAAGGGGAAGGAUGACCAUGUUCUCUUCCUCUCUGCUGCCCACACCCUUCACACAUGGGCAUCAUGCAUUUUUUUUUCAGCAAAUCACCCUACAGCGGUUGCCCUACCUUUCCUAGACCUUGUUCACUCUUGUUGUCUCUAUCUCCAGAAACCACAGGCCCUCCCUCCCCCUGGACUACUCCAGUUCAUGAGGGUUCGUCCUAGUUGUCUGGAAUCAUGCACCUACUGGCGCUCUGUGGCCUCCGAGACCGUCUUGUCCAACCUCCACCCCAGCCAGGGUUUCCUAAACUGUGGCACGCCCACUACCACUGGAACAGGAAGGAUUAAGUGACAUGCAGAUAACAGUGACCUCAUUCGCCAGGUGCUGACCAGCAGGCACCCCAUGGUCGCUUUCCACAUCUUCCUGUGUUCAUCAGGAAGACAGGCCACAGGGGCGCCAGGGUGGCGCGGUCAGUUGAGUUGACGGACUCUUGAGCUUAGCCCAGGGUCAUGAUCCCAGGGUCGUAGGUCUGAGCCCGAUGUCAGGCUCUGCACUGAGCAUGGAACCUGCUUAAGAUUUUCUCUCUCUCUCCCUCUGCCCCUCUCCCCUACUUGCACGUUCUCUCUAAAAUAUAGAUAGAUAAAUAAAUAAAUAAAUAAAUAAAUAAAUAAAAGACACCCCACACGACCUCUGCAAUUGGGACACAAGCUCGCUCAAGCCAGAUGCUCCCAGGCUGGCCACCGGCCCCCUCAUUAUCUAAGCCCCAGCUCAUCCCAAUGCGAGACGCUUCUUAAGUCCCUUCUUUCUCCCUGCCCAUUCUCACCUUCAUUUCUGGGUCACCCUUAAGCCUUCUCUCGCCCCACCCAGCACCUCUCCUGAGUGCCGUCCCCAGCUACUGAGGUUGUGCAAAGAAUAGCAAACUGAAAGGUAACCCCUAGAACUGUGGUACUCGGUGGCUCUCACAACUUCUUGGCACCCUGUGACCACCAUCAUGCCUCAAUCUGGACUCUUUGGCUUGUGUCUCCUCCAGCCUCCCAUUCCCUUCCCACUACUCUGCUCUCAGCCCCCACACUUCUUCUCCACUCCCUACCCCACAACCUUUCACUGUAGGACAUCGAAGUCACUCUCUGAUGGCGUGCUUGAACACUUCUCACCCAGCCCCCGGUGCAACCUUUCCAAUCAGGCUGAAGCUCUCUGUUGGAUCACAAAUAUCCUCAUGGCCAUGGUCUGCCCACUCUAGUCUCCAAGUGUGUGAGUCGCUUUUGCUGCUUUUUCCUGCCACCUCUUCUACCUUUCUGCUCUAUCCUUCCUUAUGCAACAGUGCCAUUUACCACAGUUUUGGAGUCAAAAGUCAGGUGCAUGUUUCCUGGACAAAUUUAAGAAAAUAUAAAGAAAGAAAGGCAGCCUCUUGGUGUUUACUACUCAAGUCUUCUUUCUGUGAUGUAGAGCCACACUCUAAAGUACAUAAAGGCAACAUAAUGGACAUUGCUUUUUUAAAUGAUUCCCAUCCAUUUCUUUUCUUUGAAUGUGUAAUAUGUGCUCUGGUCUGUCAGUGUCCUUCUCCAGAGGCAAUCAGCAUUACCAGUUUAUUUUAUGUUUUCUAGUUUAUGGGUGGUGUGUGUGUGUGUGUUUUUUAUAUAUAUAUAUAUAUAUAUAUAUAUAUAUAAAUAUAUAUUUUUAAAAAAAUAUAUAUCUACAUAUAUAUUAUAUGUAUUAUAUAUAUUAUAAUAUAUAAUAAUUUUUAAAAUAUAUAAUUUAUAUAUAUUAUAAAUAUAUAUAAUUUAAAAUAUAUAUAAAAUAAUUUAUAUAUAAUGUAUAUAGUGUAUAUAUGUAUAUAGUAUAAAAUAUGUACAUGUUAUAUGGUUUAUAUGUAUACUUUAUAUAUAUUAUGUAUAAUAUACACACACAUUUAUAUUUACAUCUUUUAGACGAGUGAUGGGAUCCAUCACACUCUUUUACAUCUUGCCACUUUUGCUUAAUAAAUGUGGGAGGUAAUUUAUAAUAUAAAUGUAGAUCUGCAUUAGCUUCCUUUUAAAUAUAUCUCUUUAAUUAAAAGUUACUAAAUAACACAGUUGGAGUUGAGAUACAGCAAAAAUCAUGAGAGGUAUUUGACCAGUUGAAGUUCAGAAUGCACUGGUCUCCCCUGUGUAUAAUUUCUGUCACCUCCCCUGACCAUCUAACCUUACCCAUUAAGUGGACCUGCUUGAAUACCUCUACUGAUGGGGAACUCACUUCCUCAGGAGGUAACCUGAGGUUGUGAAGUUCUCAUCCUGAGCCUUCUCUUCAAACUGAAAUCUUUCCCAUUUCCCAGGUCUCUUAAAUCCAGUGAUCUCACCUUACAGGAAUUCAUCAGCUUUUAAAAUCUAUUUCAUUCAUUUGGAUGCUUAAUAGCAACUACUCAGCAGUGUUUCUUAACCUUAUCACAGGAAGCUGCCUUGCCCUUUUAACUUAAUUUUAAGUUUCUGAAAGGUAAAGACUGAGGCUUAGGUUUCUCUUGCGUCCCCUUCCAGUGCCUGCCAGAGUGCUUCCCACACUGUGGGUUUCCUAACACUCCGCCCCCAGAAUUCUUCCAGCCAUUGUAAUUGUUUGUGAUCUGUAUUCCCAGUGGAUUAUGCAAAGCCUGCCUUUGGUUUUCAAAUAUAUAUAUUGAGUGAAUAAAUAAAUGGACAAACAAAUAUGAGAAGAAAGUCAACUGUAGCUUUUCCUUGAAAGACAGUGAUGACAGAUAGGGUGGUAUUACAUUUCUCAAGGGGAUCUUGCAGAAUCCAAAUGUUGGAGAUGUUCUCCUUUGGGACCCCUGGGACACUGACAGAGCCACCACCUGCCAUGUUUAAGAGCCCUAGGGCUCCGUUCACAGAGCCCCUAAUCAUGACCAAAGCCUCAGAAACACAAAGUUGGAAGCUAACUUUCUAGGCCAUACAAAUUUCAGGAAACCAGGUCCCUUGGAGGGUUCUCCAAGGGCUUUCAUCAAAGUUCUUUAGAGCCAGAGGGAACUAACUUUUAUCAUGCUCCCAUUCUGUGCUGGCAAUGGAGUUUGAAGUGACAGACAAGCUUUCUGUCCUGCAAAGAUGAAGGAUGGAGCCCUGGCACCAGGCUGAAAGAACACUCCUUUCUUGCUCGCCCCUCUGCCUGGAACGUGCAUGCAGUUCUAAGUUGGAACUGUCCGCUAACCAAACAAGCAUUUCCUGAGAACAUACUAGUUACAAAAAUACCAGCUCCCCUCUCUCAACACUCAGGGUAGCAACGUACAAUGAAUUGCCAGGAACAGCUAAACAGGACUGUGAACGAAACACCCCUGUAAGACAGUCAUGCAAGAUUACUGUAGUGGGAGGGGCAUGGGGCUUGAAGGACAAAGCAUGUGAACCCUGGCUUUGCCACUCUCAACUGUGUGACCUUUGGAAGUCUACUUCACCUCUCUCAACCUUAUCUCUACAACGUAAAUAAUAAUGCUGUCUGUCCUACAAUUGUCCUGAGGAUUCAGGGAAACCUGAUAAGAUUAUAAACCUGAAGGUGGGCAGAAACUGUACGUGGACUUUAGAAGGCGAUGGGCUGGAAGAGGGGCCAGAAGAGAGAUGCAGAAAAGGAGGGAAAGCAUCUGCUACUGGCAGAGGGAGAGGUCACCCUCAUGGUACAGAGGGGGACCCUUGACAUGUCCAUGAUUGCUUGCUCGCCUUAUCAUUCUUGUCACUCCACACACAUUCACUAAGCACCUACAAAUGGGGAACAAGUCAGCCAUAAGGCCUGCACUCAAGGAGCUUACAGCUCAACAGGGAUACGGACACAUAAAGAAUCAGCUUGAAUCCAGUGGGCUCAGGGCUCCAAGAUGGCAGUGAGUGGGGGGAGACAUGGGAAUGGCUCCUAAUCCCAGCAAGUGUGUUAGAAUCAAGUGGCAGCUUUCAGAGACAAGUAGAGUCAUCCAUGCUGGGGUGGGGUGGGAAAGAGGAAGUGAGGGUGGAAGUGUCUAGAAACUUCCUGUAGGCUGAAACCUAUACUUUCUCAGAGAGUAUACAGGAAGAAGUGACUAGAAGAUAGAGCCUCAUAAAUCACGGUAAUGAAUUUGGACCAUAGCAUACGAACCAACGUAGAAUUUUAAGCAGGAGAGUGACACACAUGAUCAGAUUUGCACUUCAGAAAGCAGCAUGGGUUGGAGCAGGGCAAGACAGAGAUGGGGAAACAGUCCAGGAAAGAGUUGCAGGAAAUUAACUAAGGGAGACAUUCUAGGAGACCAGGGGAAGCAGAGAGAGGUUUAGAGCAUAUGACUCACAGCAUUCAUGAAAGACCUGAGGACAGGUGACAAAAGAAAGAUAACAGCAGUGGUCCCCAGGUGUCUGCCUUAGGCAGUUGGGAAAAAGGUGGUGCCAGUGACUGAGAGGAGGUUUUGAGGGGAGAUCCCGAAAGUAAUUUGGGGUAUGUCAAGAUUGAAGUUCUUGAGACAUAUCCAAGUGUAGUUGUCCAAGAGCAGAUGAAUACUUAGAUCCCAAAUAAGGAAGUUCUAGAUUGGAGACGUAAGUUUGCAAGUAUCUGGAUGAUGAGUGGCUUCUGGGCUGUUGACAAGACUUCCCAGAGAGUAGGAACAAUGAGAGGGGAGGAGAGCUGGCAGAGAGCUCCCUAAGAAGUGGGCAGGAGGAAGGACUCAAUGCAGGAGACUGACGGUCAGCUGAAGAGGCAGGAGGCAGCCCCACAGAGAGCACAGUGUGACAGAAGCCAGGAAAAGAGAGGGUGUUGUCAUGAUGAGAUAAGACUUUAGAAGUAUUUAUUGGAGAGGGCAAGUGGAAGUCUUAGUGACUGGGCAAGUUCCAGAGGAAUCCAGAUAGCCAGUGUUGAGAGGCAGGUGGGAGGUGGGAGGGGAGGAGACAGGAAGUGCAGGCAAAACUUACCAGGAAUUAACUAUGACAGUUAAGAUGAAAGACAGGGAAGUACUUGGCCAGGGAUGAAUAUAAGGAGGGUGUUGGAAAUGAUUUUUUUUUAAGGUGGGAGAAGCUCCAGCAUGUCUUAAUACUCAUGAGAAAAAGCCAAUGGGAAGAAAAGGUUAAAAAACAUAAAGAAGAGAAGAAGGAAAUUAUGAUGGAGGAGAGUCUUAAGUAAAUGGAUGGAGAUAGGAUCCAGGAGGUAUUUCACUGGAACAAAAAUGGGAGAAGAUGCUAUAUCAGUUAGAAGUAUCUUUCAGGCUCAAGUAAAGGUAAAUCCUCUAGGGCUGUGACUUGAACUCAAAUUUUACAAGUCAGGAGGGAGCUUUUCACUAUCAUCAGUGAAGCAGCUCAACAGUGCUGGGGCUCAGAACUAACAACCCUGUGAUUCGCUUCACCUUUGCUUCAUGGUUGCAAGAUGGCUGCAGCAACCCUAAGCAUCAUAUCCCUCACAUGACUGAUUCAUAGUCAGGAGACACAGGUGGGUGAGGGGCAGAGUUUCUCCUCACAAACUCUCCCCUAAAAAAAAAGGAAAAUAUACUCUAGAAUCCCUCCAAAGACUCCUUAAUACAUCAUAUUACCUAAAAUUGGGAGUUAAGAGUCAUCCCCGAACCAGGGCUGGACCCAGUUCCCUGAGAUGAAGGCAUCUGCACCCAGGCAAAAUCAAGAUUCCAAUGGGAAAGAAGAAAGGGGUGGCUUUAGUUUGGAAAUAGGGUGUCUGCAUCAGAGGUACAGGUAAAGUAGCUCUGUAGGUUUGGGAGCUGAGAGUUGAAUGAAUUUUCAUUAAAUGUGUUUUCUUUGAAGGUCUGUUGUCUGCUGAGAGUGAGAGGAAAGAGCUGGUGAGAUGUGAGGUCCGACGGUAGCGAAGAGAUCUAAUAUCGGCAUUAUGAAGAAGAGAGAGUGAACAAACCAGGGAAAUGUCUAAAAUUCCAAGGAGCCCUCAGCAAGGGGGAGACUUGAGGAAGAAAUUACAGAUCAAAGUAAAGAGAGGAGGGAGAGAAGAUCUGCUAAGUGACAGAUCUAUGCUACUCUUUUGCUCACCGCACCAGGAUUUCCCACCCUUGGCACUAUGGGCAUUCUGGGCCCACGGAUUCUUUGUUGUUGGGGGGUUACCUCGUGCGCUACAGGACGCAGCACCUCUUGGACUCUAUCCACUAGAGGCCAGGCAGGCGCAGCGCAAACACACACGCACACCAACUGUGACAACCAAGAACGUCUCCGAACACUGCCGAGUAUCCCCUGAGGGGCCAGCAUGGUCCCGUUGAAGACCACUGGUGUACGUUAUUUUAUUUGAUCCUAUAGAGCAAGGAUUAUGGUCCUGCUCUCAGGGAUGAGAUUAAAUGCCCGAGGACACACGACAAAGACCAGAUGGAGCCCAAGUUCAAACCAAGUCUGCUGGAGACACGUUCUUCCCUCUGGCCCUGAGCUCCAAAGCCCACAGUGCCCCACCAGCACCAACACCUAGCAGGAACUGAGUGCCCUUGGCCCCGGCCUCAGGACCUUCGCACUAGGUUUCUACACCCCAUAGAGUUGCCUAGGGCAGUGAUCUGUUUUCCGGAAAGACUUAGAAAGAACUCAUAAAAAUUAAAUCUUUAGAAGAGCUCUCUGUAUGUUCUUUUCCAGGAAGUCAGUCACCCGGGUGAAAAACGUGGCAACAUUUUCCCAAGGACUUGGAGGAGGAAACCACCAUCCAGAAAGGAAAAUCUUUCGAGUUGGAAUGUGCUGGAGGCUGCCUCUUUAAAUGAAAAACGUUAUAUGCCUGGGAAACAUUAUAUCUGCCAAAGAAAUAGGAGGGUC